rnacentral:lncRNA from 1 species
AAAAAAGUACUUGGGUAUGACUUCUUAUGACCAAAAGUUUCUGAUGUUCAGUAGGGGAAGCCAUUUGCUUCACAGAAAGGGGAGAGAAUGCCAGAGAGCAACCCAAAGGGCUGAGCAUGAGGCAAGGCCAGGAUGGGGCCAGUGAUGUCCCCUCAGUAGCCAUCCACAGCCCAACACUCACUGCAGCAUUUGCUGGUGCCACAUCUUUCCAGUGCUGAGCCAAAUGUACAACUCGUAGCCAAAUUUUGGAAACAAAUCAUAGACCUCCUCCAAGGGCUCCUCCAUGUGGUCACCUAUUGGCACCUCUGUGUGCCUACACUCCCAACUAUUUCCACCAAUAACCUGUUCCAGCCCUACUUACAGCACAAUAGCAUUAAAAGCAAUAAGUAAAGCAUAUUUAGGCCUCCAAGCUCACACAGACUUGUCCAUAGCAUGAUACAUACCUGGGGAGCACUGCUAGGAGCCAGGAAACAAGCCACAUACUGCAUCCAAGCCUGAAAUCUUCCAAAGAACCCUACAACUGCUGCCUUGAGUACUUUUAAAGCCUGGGACUGAAGGCCCGAACAGGCCUUAACCGUCCCAACCAGGCCCACCUGUGGCCCCCCACACUCCCUGACCCCAGCAGCUGUGCUGGAGCUCCAUCCUCCCACCUGCGUGUGUGUUCCUGGGACCAGUGUUAUCCUCCACGUUCCUUGCUCAGGGGGCUGCUGUUCUCAAUCUCAUCCCCACAGCACCCUGGGGAUGGCACUGGGGGUCACAGUUUCACCUCUUCCUUUCCGCAAAGCUCAGCAUUUCACUCUAAUUGUGUUUUGGCUGGAAGCUGCAGAAGAAGGAAAUGAUUAUGGGUUUUACUAUCUCUUACAAUUCAGCACAAGUGCCGUGGAGCAGCUGUGGCUGAAAUGAUGAAGUACUUAUAGUGCUUUUUUUCUGUCACAGGUGUUUCUCUUCCACUAUAAUAAAGACUCACUUGUAUCACACUAACACAUAAGUGUACAUUGAUUAAACCUACUGACACCUGGUUCCAAAGCCAGUGAGAAAAACAACUUGCAGAUGACCCUCUAUUUGUAUACUUAAAAAAACCUCUUUAUUUGAAAUAUGCUAUCUGUAUGGUCUCUAUGCCACAUGCAGCAGCAGUGCAGGGGUUCUUACUCCACAAAUGUUAUUGCAUUGUGGUAUUUUCAUCAGUAGCUCUCUAGGAGGUAAAUCUAGAGGUCUUUACAUGGAAUCUAACAGAAAAAAUGUUAUUGCUUUUUCUAGUAUUUUCUUUUAUUAUUUUUCUCCCCUCUAGCAGUGGGAUAUAUAAAGCUGAAGCCACCAUGCAUUUAAAACCAAUAUAAUUUUUAGGAAUCAUUCUAGAGUUAAUCCACUAUGACCGAAGGUGAGAUAAUUUAGGACUUCAUUUAAAAUCCACUAACAUUGAUUUCUGACUGCUUUUCCUCCCACAGGGCCACAAAUCAGGAGGAAAGCUGUCAGGCCCUGGCAGCAGACCCCAGCAGCAGCUCUUCUCUGAGGUCCUAACGUGGGAUCCUACAGCUCAAGUUUUUCCUGCUUCCUUAAUAAUAUGGGUGGGAAGGAGAGAGGCUUUGGGAUGAUAUGUGUGUGUGUGUAAGCCUCUGCAUGAGAGGAAGGACAUCAAAGGGAAGCAGUCAGGAAGUAGGAGAGCCAGCAUCCAAGUGGCAGUGGGGAAAAAAGGUCAGUGAAGAGACAUGCUUUGGUUUCAUUCACCACAGUUUGUGUAGGUUACAAAGCCAAGCUCAGUAUGGCUUGGGGGGGAAAAAAAAAAAACACACAAAAAAAACAACCCAACAGACUAAGACACAGAAAUCCUGAAAGCAGCAGGAUUUUUAACUGCAGCUGAUGAUCCAGCUCCCAAGCAGACAAAUUACUCCAUGAGAAGAGUGGUGCAACCAGCCCCUUUUCAAUUACAGAAAGCUAACACAAUCAGCUCCUAUUCUUUUUAAAUAGGUCUGGUGGGUUUAAAUGAAUGAGCGUAAUAUGUGGUCCAUUUAUUUUCAGGAACACUGCAGUGAAAGUUGCUUCAUGGAAUCACUGCAAAAAUCCUGAGUAAAGAAAAUCAAUAGGAACUAUCCACCUUUCUUUAAAUAACAAUUAAAAAUAAAAGGCAUUUUUUUUCCUUAAAGCUCAAUUCACUGUGGCACUGUUACUGACCUUGGUUAAGACAUGGUCAGUGCUUGUAUGGGGGCUUCCUUCAGUCACGUUUGCAGAAGCUCCUCUUCCUCAGGCUAUAGGGUUAUCUACAGAUCUGCUUGAGGCUGAAUCGCAAGGAGAAAACUCAUCUUGGAAACCAAGGCUGAUGGCUUUUUGUUGUCACUUUGUGUGGGAGGGGCGAAUUCAUAUCUUCAUUGCCUGUAUCGGGACACCAGUUCCCCAUGAUGUGCUCCCCCGGUAUGGCCAAUCUGUGUUUGGUAUGGUUGAGUUAGGAAGAAUGCCCUGCCAGCCCAGCCUGUGGCAUUGCUGCCCAUAGCACUCCAGUUUUGAGGUGUUCACUGCAGUUUGGGGAACUUUGUGGGCUCAGCAGACCCAACCAUUGAAGUGCUGGUGCAAGUCCUGAUGAAAGUUGUUCAGCACAAGUCCCAGAAGCAGAACAGUGAAGUUCCAAUAAUCCAUUUGGUCUCUCUUGAUUAAAUACUUUACUUUCAUUAGGCAAAGAAAAGAGUCCCCAGUGGUUUCUGCUGCAUCUGUCAUGAUAGCACCGGGCAACGCAUUUGUUGUUUGAGAUCUAAGAAUGAGUCACUGGCACUUUGGGACAUGAGGUCCUCACCACCAGAACGCAAAUGGUUCUGCCAGCAAUUUCCCCUCUCAAAUACUGGCUUAGCUCAGCCAUGGCUGCAUGCAGCCCCAUUCUCAUCAUUAGCAGCCAUCAGCAGGUGGUUGUGCUUGCUCUCAGAACAAGAUCAGAUGAGAUGCACAUUUCUGGCAUUUAUAGAAAGCUGCUCGUUCUCCUGCAUGUACCAUCUUAUGUAGCCUGGCUCCUUGUGAAGGGCUGUAGGAAGGUGCAAAACCCAGCUAUCUUAAAUGAAGAUACAGUUCUUUUCAACAUCAUAUAUCAUGUAUUGUUCUUGUAUAUCAUAUAUCUAAUAGACAAAAUUGUCUCUGGGGUUGGUAGGGGUAGGUAUCUCAGAUAACAUGGAGAUUAAUAUGGGAAAGUGUCUACACCAGACUUAAAAACGUGUGACUGCUUAACAUUAAUUGGCAGUCAAUUAAAUUGAGGUAAGAAGUGCCCAUAGUGGACAAACUCAGAGGAAAAGAGCUCACUCUGCUGUAUAUGUUAAUUUUAAAUCACUGGAACUGUAAUUUCAAAGCUAAGUCUUUUCCAACAUGACCAAGGAUUAAUCUAUCUUCAUUCACAUUCCAACAGAGAUAAGUACAUUGCUUAAACAAAGCCAUUUUUCAGUUUUCUGUGCUUUAGAAAUAAGCCAGGGCCCUUUUGGAUGGAAUAUAUAUCAUAAUUUUAAGUGACUGCUCUUUAAAGUUCUCCUUCCAGACUGGGAAAACAUCGGGGUGGAGGGAGGGAUUUCCCUCUCUCACAACAUACCUGGGCAAGUCCAGGAAUCAUCCCAGCUCCAGGAGGAAACCUCACUCUUCCACGAGGCUGUAUUGCUCCUGAGUAUGAAGAACUGAGAUCUUAUUUUCUUCUUGCUCCAAAAAUGGAAAGGCUUGGGAUAACAUGAAAUUGGAAUCAACAGCCAAAGAGAGAGAACUAUGUAUUUUAUUGCAAGAGCUUUCAUUGGGAUGUUAAGGGUAUUUGCUUCACUGCAAAUUGUUAUUAUGUACACCAUAUGGAUUUCUAUCAGACUCUUUUCUUCAUUCUCUCUCUAAAAAAAAAAGUUAUCAUUGCUCAGGGCAUUAUUAGGGAUUCACUUUGUGGUGUCUGAAAUUAAUGUAAAUUGAAGGCAGUCCUGCAGGUGCCGAGGUGAGGUUCUGAAGUUUACUAUGAUGUGAAGCAAAGAAAGAGCUGAAAAAGCAUGAAGAUACUCAUCAAAAUGCUCCAUUUUAGCUGCACGGAUUUUUCUAUUUUCAAAAGGCAGCAGAGGUGAGACUAUCAUAGCAGUUAAGAAAUGGAGGUUUUGUUGAGCUUGCACAUCUAGAUAAAUGAAACCUCGCUGUGAGAUGUGAGUGAACAAAGAAUACGUUGGAGCUGGGACAGCCUGUGGUGCCAGCAAGGGGCCCUGCUCCCCAUGCACCCCAUCUGCUGCAACUACACAUAGAAUCAUUAAGGUUAGAAAAGACCUCUAAGAUCACCAAGUCCAACCAUCAAGCAAGCCCCACCAUGUCCACUGGCCAUGUCCCUCAGUGCCACAUCUCCACAGUUCUUGAACACCUCCAGGGACAGCAACUCCAUCACCUUCUGGGCAGCCUGUGGCCAAUGCACCACUGCUCUUUUCCUACUAUCCAACCUGAACCUCCCCAGCACAACUUGAGGCCAUUAUCUCAUGUCCUAUCACUAGCUAAUGUGCUCCACCCUGCAAAAAAAAA